UACAGAGGCCCCGAGCGUUAAUCGGAAUUACUGGGCGUAAAGCGCACGUAGGCGGUUCGUUAUGUCGGAUGUGAAAGCCCUUGGCUUAACCGAGGAAGUGCAUCCGAAACUGGCGAGCUAGAGUACGAAAGAGGAUCGCGGAAUUCCCGGUGUAGAGGUGAAAUUCGUAGAUAUCGGGAGGAACACCGGUGGCGAAGGCGGCCCGCUGGGCAGUGGCUGACGCUGAGGCGCGACAGCGUGGGGAGCAAACAGG
rnacentral:rRNA from 1 species